GGCGAGCGGCGCGGCGAGCGGCAAGCGAGUGCGGCGAAGCACGCUCUGCGGAGUGUGUCGCGAGUAUUGGCGUGCGCUGACCAGGAUUUCACUGGCUGCCAACUGACAAUCGCUGUACUGCACGAGUCCUAAACUUAGCAACCGCGCCUACAAAGUAGACCGAAAUCGAUCCCUUUGGCGGUCUCCUUGCUGUGACAGCCUCUCCGCAAAACUGGCAGGUUCGCGAUUGACGACUUCAUUGGAAAUGUUUUUUUUUGCCAUCCUCUAAGGAAAUGUUACACGACUGACAGAAACAGAACAAAAGAAUUUUUUUAACAUGUAAUCAAAAAUUUGUUGCAAUAGUUUUUCGAUCAAAAAUGCCAUAAAUCCGGAUGUAAUGGUGCCGCCGUUCAAACCUUGGCUAUUACACGAAUAUGAAGAUUUCUACAGACGCUUUCUGGUGUCUGCUGAUAUUUUUCGUACAGAUCGCAACGCUCGCUGGUGCCUGUAAGAAGAAGGGUGCCAAAGGGCAGGGGAAAGUGCACUGGGAUUCGUGUAGAGGCACCUGCUGGACGCCGCGCGCGUUACGUCGUGGCAACGUGCCGCCGAUGGCGCCCCCGCCGAUCGGCAACUGAGUCUGACCACAGCGAAGACAAGGGGACUGUAGCACACCCGUGCCGACCGCCGCGCUGUCCUGGUGGGUGCAAACCUAAGUACUGGUAGGAGACGUACCUACCUUCUGGCACAGACGUGAUAUUGCUAAGGAGGCUUCGCCUAACACAGAGAUGGCAAG